CUGCUCCUUUUCAGCAUGGUACAAGUAUAACAGAAGUAGUUUCUGAGUUGCCACCUACGCCCAUCGUUGCCGCACUAGGAACCAUCUUUUCUGACAAAUGUUAUGUGGCCUGUGAGCAGGAACUGUUUUGCGAAGCAUCCAAUUUCACCGAGGCAGUCUGCGUAAUGUUCCUGACUUACUAUGCUUUCAACAUGAUGUACCCGAACAAUGCUGCGACAACACUGGAAUUCUUGCAAAGGCAGCUGUUCCUCAUCAAUCCACCAAACGGUACAAAGCGGGAAGGGGGACAGCGGUCAAGGACGGUGGUUAAUUCGAGAAUUAUGAAGCUGAACCAUGUGCUUCGAGCAAACGUCUCACCCGAGCAGCUGGACUCUGACCAGUGAACACAGUGCACAAUACUGCACAUUAUUGUUACGGGCACCACGGGAAUGUGGAAAUAGUACAAAUGCCACGAUUAUUUACAAGUUUCCAUUAUACAUUGUAUUUCGCAUUCUAGAUCUAUAAGAUAUUGAGAUCA